rnacentral:rRNA from 1 species
GACAGAGGGUGCAAACGUUGUUCGGAAUUACUGGGCGUAAAGCGCGUGUAGGCGGCUAAGUAAGUCGGGGGUGAAAUCCUGGAGCUCAACUCCAGAACUGCCUUCGAUACUGGAAGACUUGAGUCCGGGAGAGGUGAGUGGAACUGCGAGUGUAGAGGUGAAAUUCGUAGAUAUUCGCAAGAACACCAGUGGCGAAGGCGGCUCACUGGCCCGGUACUGACGCUGAGGUGCGAAAGCGUGGGGAGCGAACAGG